rnacentral:rRNA from 1 species
AUUGAACGCUGGCGGCAGGCCUAACACAUGCAAGUCGAACGGUAACAGGAAGCAGCUUGCUGCUUUGCUGACGAGUGGCGGACGGGUGAGUAAUGUCUGGGAAACUGCCUGAUGGAGGGGGAUAACUACUGGAAACGGUAGCUAAUACCGCAUAACGUCGCAAGACCAAAGAGGGGGACCUUCGGGCCUCUUGCCAUCGGAUGUGCCCAGAUGGGAUUAGCUUGUUGGUGGGGUAACGGCUCACCAAGGCGACGAUCCCUAGCUGGUCUGAGAGGAUGACCAGCCACACUGGAACUGAGACACGGUCCAGACUCCUACGGGAGGCAGCAGUGGGGAAUAUUGCACAAUGGGCGCAAGCCUGAUGCAGCCAUGCCGCGUGUAUGAAGAAGGCCUUCGGGUUGUAAAGUACUUUCAGCGGGGAGGAAGGGAGUAAAGUUAAUACCUUUACUCAUUGACGUUACCCGCAGAAGAAGCACCGGCUAACUCCGU